rnacentral:rRNA from 1 species
UACGGAGGGGGUUAGCGUUGUUCGGAAUUACUGGGCGUAAAGCGNGCNGAGGCGGACCAGAAAAUGGGGGUGAAAUNCCGGGGCUCAACCCCGGAACGGACUCCAAAACUCCUGGNAUUGAGUUCGAGAGAGGUGAGUGGAAUUACGAGUGUAGAGGNGAAAUUCGUAGAUANUCGGAGGAACACCNGUGGCGAAGGCGGNUCACUGGCUCGAUACUGACGCUGAGGUGCGGAAGUGNGGGGCGCAAACACG